UACGUAGGGUGCAAGCGUUGUCCGGAAUUAUUGGGCGUAAAGAGCUCGUAGGCGGUUUGUCGCGUCUGCUGUGAAAACCCGAGGCUCAACCUCGGGCCUGCAGUGGGUACGGGGCAGACUAGAGUGCGGUAGGGGGAGAUUGGAAUUCCUGGUGUAGCGGUGGAAUGCGCAGAUAUCAGGAGGAACACCAAUGGGCGAAGGCAGAUCUCUGGGCCGUAACUGACGCUGAGGAGCGAAAGCAUGGGGGAGCGAACAGG
rnacentral:rRNA from 1 species